rnacentral:rRNA from 1 species
UGCCAGCCGCCGCGGUAAUACGGAGGGGGUUAGCGUUGUUCGGAAUUACUGGGCGUAAAGCGCGCGUAGGCGGAUUAGUAAGUUAGGGGUGAAAUCCCGGGGCUCAACCCCGGAACUGCAUCUGAAACUGUUUUUCUAGAGGAUAGGCGGAGAAAGCGGAAUCCCACGUGUAGCGGUGAAAUGCGUAGAUAUGUGGAAGAACACCUGUGGCGAAAGCGGCUUUCUAGCUUAUUCCUGACGCUGAGGCGCGAAAGCAAGGGGAGCAAACAGGAUUAGAUA